GCUCUUUCUCUCCCGUGACCUCAGCCUCAUCUCCAAUCGUGGGGAAGAGAGAAACUGAAAUUCUUCCUGUGACUGAACACAUGAGAAUGUGACAGCUAUUUGGGGUAACAGGUUUCCUGUGGUUCCUGUGUUCAACAAGAACUAUUGUGUGAAGAGUAUGCAUUCAUUCCAGUGUCAGGGGAGGGGAGAAGAAAGAGGAGGAGGCACAGUCCCACGUGGAUGUCAGUGUGAUGAUUAGGAUGCCUGAUGCUUCCGAAACAAGAAUACACUUUACGAAAAUGCCCAU
rnacentral:lncRNA from 1 species